rnacentral:misc_RNA from 1 species
AAAACUAUCAAGCCAGGAUGGUUUGUUGCCUCCUAGCCUUGGUUUUAUUGGGCUUUGCCGUGCCCCUUCAUUGGGAACGGCUGGCCUUAAAAGCAUUAGCCGGACUCCAUGUAGUAAUUGGGAUUCUACUUGGCGUGAUAAUUAAUAACUAUGACCGCCAACAAAGUAAUUGCGUCCCUUUGGGAUGACCAAUGUUCACAUGUGGAGUUGCUUCUAAUCUUGGAACCACCCCCCGUUCCACUUUUUCAA